rnacentral:lncRNA from 1 species
GUGUCUUAUGGAGUUUCGAGUCUUGGAAUGGAAUCAAUGCACCUAAGCAAGUUCACACCAUAAGGAAGAGACAACAAUUGAAGCAAUUCAAGUCCACAUUCAUGCUAUCAAACAUUUCAUCAAUCAAUCAAUAAGGGUCACAACAAGGCAAUUCACAAGCAUUAUGAUCAACACAUAGCCUUUUCAUUUCAACCCCUUUUUAUUCAUUAAGAUUUAUCAAGUGGACAAUAAAC